rnacentral:rRNA from 1 species
CGUGGUAACCUGCCCUGGAGUGGGGAAUAACAGCUGGAAACAGCUGCUAAUACCGCAUAAUGCAGUUGGGCCGCAUGGCUCUGACUGCCAAAGAUUUAUCGCUCUGGGAUGGACUCGCGUCUGAUUAGCUAGUUGGUGGGGCAACGGCCCACCAAGGCGACGAUCAGUAGCCGGACUGAGAGGUUGGCCGGCCACAUUGGGACUGAGACACGGCCCAGACUCCUACGGAAGGCAGCAG